rnacentral:misc_RNA from 1 species
GGUUCAUAAACCCUAGCAUUGAAAACCUAACUCAUCAAUUUCAUACAUUUAACCAUUUCAAUGCCUUUAACUAUCAUCAAUUAACUCAUUAAGGUUCAUAUUCCUAUCCAAGUCAAUCAAGCCAUGCCAUUGAUGUCCCCUCUUCAACAGACCGAAAUUUCACUUUGGUCCUCUACACAUGUUUUUAUUUCAUUUCCUUAAUUUCCAAGUUCAUUUAAGUAACAAACAUGCACAAAAAAAAUAGGAAUUGAAGGUUAGAAUACCCACCUUUGGUGAAGCCUUUGAUCUUCACUUUUUGUUCCACUUCACACUUUUUUUUUUCUUUCCUCUAUUCUUCCUU